rnacentral:rRNA from 1 species
CCUACGGGAGGCUGCAGUGAGGAAUAUUGGUCAAUGGUCGGGAGACUGAACCAGCCAAGCCGCGUGAGGGAUGAAGGUACAGAGUAUCGUAAACCUCUUUUGUCAGGGAACAAAGGCGGGGACGUGUCCCCGGAUGAGUGUACCUGAAGAAAAAGCAUCGGCUAACUCAGUGCCAGCAGCAGCGGUAAUACGGAGGAUGCGAGCGUUCUCCGGAGGUAUGGGGGUAAAAGGGUGCGCAGUUGGUCUGUUAAGUCCGCGGUCAAAGCCCGGGGCUCAACCCCGUCCCGCCGUUGACACUGGCAGUCUCGAGUUGGAGAGAAGUAUGCGGAAUGCGCGGUGUAGCGGUGAACUGCAUAGAUAUCGCGCAGAACUCCGAUUGCGAAGGCAGCAUGCCGGCUCCACACUGACGCUGAGGCACGAAAGCGUGGGUAUCGAACAGGAUUAGAUACCCGAGUAGUC